UACGAAGGGGGCUAGCGUUGUUCGGAAUCACUGGGCGUAAAGGGCGCGUAGGCGGCUAAUCAAGUCGGGGGUGAAAGCCUGUGGCUCAACCACAGAAUUGCCUUCGAUACUGUUUGGCUUGAGACCGGAAGAGGACAGCGGAACUGCGAGUGUAGAGGUGAAAUUCGUAGAUAUUCGCAAGAACACCAGUGGCGAAGGCGGCUCACUGGCCCGAUACUGACGCUGAGGCACGAAAGCGUGGGGAGCAAACAGG
rnacentral:rRNA from 1 species